rnacentral:rRNA from 1 species
ACGGGUGAGUAACACGUGGGUGACCUGCCCCCUGACCCCGGGAUAAGCGGUGGAAACGCUGUCUAAUACCGGAUAUGACCUUCCGUCGCAUGGCGGGGGGUGGAAAGCCUUGUGGCGGUUGGGGAUGGGCUCGCGGCCUAUCAGCUUGUUGGUGGGGUAACGGCCUACCAAGGCGAUUACGGGUAGCCGGCCUGAGAGGGGCGACCGGCCACACUGGGACUGAGACACGGCCCAGACUCCUGCGGGAGGCAGCAGUGGGGAAUCUUGCGCAAUGGGCGAAAGCCUUGACGCAGCGACGCCGCGUGGGGGAUGACGGCCUUCGGGUUGUAAACCUCUUUUACCACUAACGCAGGCUCGGGGUGUUCUCCGGGUUGACGGUAGGUGGGGAAUAAGGACCGGCUAACUACGUGCCAGCCGCAGC